CUGACCAGCCAGUCGCGUGAAGGAAGACGGCCCUACGGGUUGUAAACUUCUUUUGUAAGGGAAUAAAUAGUCUUACGCGCUAAGACGUUGCAGGUACCUUACGAAUAAGGAUCGGCUAACUCCGUG
rnacentral:rRNA from 1 species